GGUCCGCUGGCUCAAUGGCAGAGCGUCUGACUAAAAGUUAUCAGGAGGUUUCAGGCUCGACCCCUGGGUGGAUCG